GAUGAACGCUAGCGAUAGGCUUAACACAUGCAAGUCGAGGGGCAGCAUGGUCUUAGCUUGCUAAGACUGAUGGCGACCGGCGCACGGGUGCGUAACGCGUAUGCAACUUGCCUCACAGAGGGGGAUAACCCGUCGAAAGACGGACUAAUACCGCGUACACUCUAUUUUGGGCAUCCAAGGUAGAGGAAAUGAAAUUCGCUGUGAGAUAGGCAUGCGUCCCAUUAGCUAGUUGGUGAGGUAACGGCUCACCAAGGCGACGAUGGGUAGGGGAACUGAGAGGUUGAACCCCCACACUGGUACUGAGACACGGACCAGACUCCUACGGGAGGCAGCAGUGAGGAAUAUUGGUCAAUGGGCGAGGGCCUGAACCAGCCAAGUCGCGUGAAGGAUGACUGUCUUAUGGAUUGUAAACUUCUCUUGUAGGGGAAUAAAGAGGGGCACGUGUGCCCCAGUGAAUGUACCCUACGAAUAAGCAUCGGCUAACUCCGUG
rnacentral:rRNA from 1 species